rnacentral:rRNA from 1 species
UUGAGCGGAGAUAUAUGGAGCUUGCUUUAUAUAACUUAGCAGCGAACGGGUGAGUAACACGUAGAUAAUCUAUCCUAUACUGGGGGAUAGCCCGAUGAAAGUUGGAUUAAUACCGCAUAUAGCUAUAUAGUUGCAUGAUUAUGUAGUGAAAGAUUUAUUGGUAUAGGAGGAGUUUGCGGCACAUUAGCUAGUAGGUGAGGUAAAGGCUUACCUAGGCGACGAUGUGUAGCCGGUCUGAGAGGAUGAACGGCCACAAUGGAACUGAGACACGGUCCAUACUCCUACGGGAGGCAGCAGUGGGGAAUAUUGCACAAUGGGGGAAACCCUGAUGCAGCAACGCCGCGUGAGUGAAGAAGGUUUUCGGAUUGUAAAGCUCUGUUAGCAGGGAAGAGGAAGGACGGUACCUGCAGAGGAAGCCACGGCUAACUACGUGCCAGCAGCCGCGGUAAUACGUAGGUGGCAAGCGUUGUUCGGAAUAACUGGGCGUAAAGGAUGCGUAGGCGGUUAAACAAGUUAUAUGUUAAAUAUAUAGGCUUAACCUGUAGAAAGCAUAUAAAACUGUUUAACUAGAGUGCAGGAGAGGUAAGUGGAAUUCCUAGUGUAGCGGUGAAGUGCGUAGAGAUUAGGAAGAACACCAGUGGCGAAGGCGACUUACUGGACUGUAACUGACGCUGAGGCAUGAGAGCAUGGGGAGCAAACAGGAUUAGAUACCCUGGUAGUCCAUGCUGUAAACGAUGGGUACUAGGUGUGGGUUGUGAA